rnacentral:misc_RNA from 1 species
GCUGUUUGGCAAUUCUCAUCUACAGGAAUUGCAUAAUUGCUGAAGUGUAAAUUACAAGUUAGAGGUAUGUCAAAAAUCGUAGGUCAGUUCUUGAUUUCUUAUUAGAAAUAAUUUAGCUCUUACAUUUCAUUCCGUUAACAAAAUAGUCCCUUUGCCAUCGGUAUUUUUUUCCCCCAACAUGUGAUGUCAAGAGUCUUAUGGGCUUGUAAGAG